UAACUCUCCACCCAGCCGCUUAAAUGUCAUGCAAAGACAUGAAAUCCCUGUGUGCAGACAGCCAGCCGUCACUGCUCAACACGCGUGUCCACGGAGCAGAGGAAUACGGGAUACUGUGUGUGUGUGUGAGUGUGUGUGGAGCUGUGGCGGGGACCACCUGACGCUCUCCAGCUGUUUGAACACCGGCGGACGCAGACAGGGAGGGUGAGUCCAAGGAAAAGACCCGGAGCUGAAAAACAGCUGGCAGGUUAUGUGAGGAGUGAUGUGUGGAAAAGCGUCCAUUAUAUCUACUACAACAUGAAGACUAAAGGAUCACCUGCUAGACAUCGAGGACCCAGGCAGACUUUAAGAGUUCAUCACCAGUUUGGACGUCUUCCAUGAAGCGUUUAUAGAGCCGCUCUACCCGUUUUUACACGUAGUCAGGAUCAAACAAAGGCAGCCUCCUAGUUUGUCGAAUCACAGAUCUGAGGAUGCGGGAGAACACUUUAUCCACAGAUGCCUCAUUUAGUUCCAAGCAGGGGCUGCUGGACAUUGGUGAGGGUUCAGAUGGGUUUUCCUUGGUGACCCCCAGCCCAGUGGAAGCAGAUGGUAGCUGCAAAUUCAGUGAUGGAGUCAGCGCGGGUUCCGUUGACAUUCUGUCAUCUGAGACUACAGGAGACAACACCUCCCCAGAUUUUAACAAAAUUGGGCUUGUUCCCCAAAAGACAGAUGACUUGUGCGGAUGGGGAGGCUUCCGUCCUAAAUUCAUCCAAUGGUUUAACACCCCAAAGUGGGUGCUCUUCUUUUUGUGUGUUGCUUCUUUUUUACAAGGGAUGAUCGUCAAUGGAUUCAUCAACACAGUCAUUACCUCAAUAGAACGAAGGUUUGACCUGCGGAGCUACCAUAGCGGGCUCAUCGCCAGCUCGUAUGACAUCGCCGCUUGCGUGUGUUUGACUUUCGUCAGCUAUUUUGGUGGGACGGGGCAUAAGCCCAAGUGGCUGGGUUGGGGCGUCCUAGUAAUGGCAGUGGGCUCACUGGUUUUUGCCCUGCCUCACUUUGUCACCGACAGCUACAAAGUAAGCUCUCCCGAGCACACUGACCUCUGUUUCGACGUUCAGAAUGACACGUGCAACCAGAGCCCCUCCAGCCUGUCCAACUACAGGUACAUGUUCAUGUUGGGACAGUUUCUCCAUGGAUUUGGAGCUACGCCGCUCUACACCCUGGGAGUGACCUACCUAGACGAGAAUGUGAAGUCCAAUUACGCUCCUGUUUACAUUGGUAUUUUCUAUGCAGCAGCUAUUGUUGGGCCAGCUGCUGGCUACCUCUUGGGUGGAGUUUUCCUCAAUAUAUACUCUGAAAUCAAUGAAGUGACAGAACUGACUCCAGAAGAUCCUCUGUGGGUGGGUGCCUGGUGGAUUGGCUUCCUGGGUGGUGCAGCAGCUUCUAUGCUCGUCUCCAUCCCAAUCCUUGGUUACCCUCGACAGCUACCAGGCUCCCAGCGUUAUGUUGCAAUGAGAGUGUCAGAAGCUCAUCAGAUGAAGGAUGGAAGCCAUCACGAGGCAUUGGAUCCUCAGUUUGGGAAAACUAUCAAAGACUUGCCAAGGUCUGUGCUGCUGCUACUAAAAAACCCCACGUUCAUCUUCCUGUGCUUCGCUGGAGCGACAGAAGCCACACUAAUUGCUGGAAUGUCGACAUUUGGUCCCAAAUUUCUGGAAUCCCAGUUUAACCUAAGUGCCUCUGAAGCUGCUACAAUGUUCGGUUACCUUCUUGUCCCUGCAGGAGGAGGAUGUACGUUUCUGGGAGGAUACAUAGUGAAAAAAUUAAAACUGCGGUGUGGAGGAAUAAUUAAAUUCUGCCUUUUCUGUGUGAUCGUCAGCCUGAUCGCGAUCUUCAUAUUUAUGAUUCACUGUCCCAAUGUGCCGGCUGCUGGAGUCACAGCUUCUUACUUUGACAGCUUUAAUCAAACUAUAAAACUCACAUCCUCCUGCAAUUCAGACUGCAACUGCAUCCGGGAGUUUUACAACCCUGUCUGUGGAGAAGACAAAGUCAUGUACUAUUCACCCUGUCAUGCUGGAUGCAACAUCAUAAACAAAACUCUGUCUGGAAAUGGCAAAAAGGUGUACAGCAAUUGCAGUUGCAUUGUGGCAAAUCUCUCCUCCGACUACGGGACGGCGUAUUCCGAGAAGUGUGCCUCUUCCUGCCCCUAUAUGAGCCUGUUCCUCAUCGCCCUCUUUGUCGUCAUUUCCUUCACGUUUCUGUGCAGCAUACCGGCCCUCACUGCCACCCUGAGAUGUGUUCCCGAUAGCCAGAGGUCAUUUAGCCUGGGGAUUCAGUGGAUUCUUGUACGCACACUUGGCUCAAUUCCAGGCCCAAUUGCAUUUGGGUCAUUUAUUGAUAUUUCCUGUUUGCUGUGGCAAGAGCAAUGUGGAGUACAAGGUUCCUGCUACCUCUACGAGAACAAAGCCAUGAGCCAGUACACCUUGAUCGUUGGCCUCAUAUAUAAGGCUUUAGGAACCUUGUUCUUCUUCUUGGCAAUGGUGGUCUACACUCCUCCGGCGGAAUCGCCGCAGAACAGCUCGGAAACCAAUCUGAAAAACGGCAAGAGUGAUCUGCCAGUGAAGGAUGUUCCACAGGAGUUACACCAAUCAUGUUGAAGAGAUGGUGUGACACUGGAUUUUCCUAGGAUAUCGGCAGGGAUGUGUCAUCCUCUGUCCCCUCUUCUUUUUGGUUUUAUUUCUGAGACAUUGAUUUUUUGCUUCAAAAACCAUGAUGACUGGAUUUCUAAAAACAAAACAAAACAAAAGAACAAAAUAACUUUGUUUUUACUAAUUGCAGUUGAAUUUACACAAAUGUGGAUUAGUCAUUUUCAAAUAUAUACCUUCCACGCCCAGGGUAUUCUGAGGAGCUGAGCAGUUCCAGUGUGGACACAAUUGACUUCUUUUUUCCUUGGCAGAGUGACAUACCUCAUGUCAGGUCUUAUUUCAGAGCUUGUGCUGACAGUUUGGGUGUUCCUCAGUAAAAAUGUUUAUAGUUGUGUGGGUGUGUGCCAUGAAGUGGAUGUGUGUUUUUAUGUUAUUUUAUAAAUGAAUGCUGUCUGUAAAGAUUUUUACAUUGAAACAAUGACAUUUUGUAAUGAAAAGUUUAGAAAAUGCUGCUUUACUGUCAGUCAGCAAAUUAAUGUGAUAUUCACACUUAAACGGGUUUGAAAUUAAGUUAACUUGAAGUUCGGCAGAAUGUCUUGAUAGCAACCCGUAAAGAUGAAUUGACGAAGAGGAAAGUCACAAAAUGAGGAGUGCGCCCAACCAGUUCACCAGCCCUCCUCUGGUAUUUUUGCCGUUCCUCCAAGCAUCUCACUCAGAUUAGUGUUGUCUCGAGCUCAAAUGACUAAACUUCUCGGUUUUUCCAAAGUACGGCCCAAUGAAUCACCAGAAAAAAAUAUUAGAAUGUCCCAAGUGUUACUAAAACAUGUCCUUGGUGUCACAUUUUUUAAACACCUAUACUGCUACACCGUUCCCAGAAUCAUCAGGACGGCAAUCCUCUCUCGACUCGACAAACAAAACAUCGACCUAACAUCAUGGUACGGAAAUCCAUUGAGACGUAACUUCCAAACAACUUUCGCCACAUUUCACAGGUAUGGUUAUUGUGUUCAGUGUAACUUCAUACAGUUACGCAUGGCGUGUUACUCUGAACAAUGAGUGAAAACAAAAUACAGAGGAUACUAAAUUUGUUAUUUGCUAAAAUAAUCAGACCACAUAGAAAGAAUUGAGGUGGGCCGAAAUAAUCGGACCACAUAGACAGCUGAGGUGGGCUAAAAUUAUCAGACCAUAUAGAAAGAGUUGAGGUGGGCCGAAAUAAUCAGACCGCAUAGAAAGAGUUGAGGUGGGCUAAAAUAAUAAGGCCACAUAGACAGAGUUGAGGUGGGCUAAAAUAAUCAGACCACAUAGACAGAGUUGAGGGGGGCUAAAAUAAUCAGACCACAUAGAGAGAAUUGAGAUGGGCUAAAAUAAUAAGACCACAUAGACAGAGUUGAGGGGGGCCGAAAUAAUCAGACCACAUAGACAGAGUUGAGGUGGGCUGAAAUAAUCAGACCACAUAGAGCUGAGGUGAACCGAAAUAAUCGGAGCACUCCUGACCUCUUUGGCUUUCUGACUGAACGCUGGUGGUGCUGCUGCUGCUAAUGCUGCUAUAUAAAUCAAUGCACUCAAAGAGAAAGCACAGUUUCCUAUGUCUAGACAAGAGAAACAAUUUUUAAUAGGUCCCGUAAAUUUUAGUUCAACUUUGCAAAGUUGAGAAACUCAUUUCUUAUAACUCAUUUCUAGCUUGGACUGAAUGCCCCAUUACUUCACCUCUUGGCUUUUGGACAGACGUGUAUGGUUCUACCUCUUCUUUCUGCACUGUUUAUUUGUGACUAAAAACUGGGGUACAGUAGCGAAUGCUGGUGGGGUUAAAGGUGAUAUGAUGUUUAUCCAAACUGGAAGAGUAAAUCAUAACUUAAAGUAGUACUGAGCCAGCGACCUUGCUUAAAAUUGAAUUUGUAUGUUUCGCUGUACACAAAAUUUGUUUUGUGAUUAGCGAAAUCUGUGCCGUGGAUUUGGGAAGAAGGAUGUUUACUCCCUGUCUGGAAACAUUUUCCUGCAGUACUUAUGCAUGUGUCUCCUUGUCAUUUAUUGUUUAAAUAAAAUUCUCUAGUAGAAAAAGAAGAAAAAAAAAAAAAAGAAAUCAUAGGACUCAUAUCAUGUGUGACAUUUUGUUGAGCCGUAAGAUGUGUGCUGUGGUUGGUUGUUCUGGUAGUGUGAUGCCCACUUUUCCAAUUUUAAUAGCUCUUGGAAAUCAUAUUUGGAAACAGAAACAAUAUUCGGUACAUUCACUUCUGACCAUCUGAAUGAAUCAAGGAACAGGAAAGGGUGAUUUUUUAUGUACAGUAAGUACAAGGGGAGGACCUGUGGACAAACACAGUAAUGUGAAGAGUGGUGUGGAAAAUAUGCAGUAUAAUUAAUUGUUAUAAAGCGCAUGGGGCUUCUCCACAGUGCUGUGAAUAUAACCGAUUUCACUCGUCUACUACUGAGUACACAGAUGUACAACAAAACACAGAGGUAUGAAUGCUUAAGAAGUCAUAGUUUUUUACUCCCAAAAAUCUUCAUCAACCCUAGAAAUGUUGUUUUAAGUUAGUUUCAUGAUUGAAAUCCCGUGUGAAAUGGAUUUUAAUAUCAAUUUUCACAUUUGUAUGUUAUGUGGCUCAUCAAUAUUUCUUAUUAUCUUUAUGGGACAAUCAUUAGGAAUAAUGGUCAUAUGCUAUUGGAAAAAGUAAAAAAAGAAAUGAAAUGCAUGUGGAGAGGUGGAAGUUUGGACCCCAUAAUAAAAAAUUUCAGACUUUAAAAUUCCCACAUCAUAAAUUUAAUAAUCUUAUUUCUUCCUUGAUGUUUAAAAGGGGAGGAAACAAAAGUCUGAAGACAAUGGGGAUACACAAGCACACUACUCGAAAGCUAAAACACUUAAUAAGACAGACAUUACUGAAUUAUGUGAACAAAAUGGUGGCACCUGUGAUCAAGAACAAAAUACAAAAUGGUGGCCUGAUAAUAUUAGUAAUAUCUCGCUGCCGGUUUAGUGUCCAUUUUCUAAAUUCACUUAGGUUGGCCAUUGGUCCUCACAAAAUAUGUUAGAUAGAGAUAGAUAAAUACUUUAUUAAUCCC